UUAACCUUAGUUAUCAUAAAAUAGAAACCUCUACUGAAAUGCUUAGUAGCAACAUAGAUGUGACUAAAAAUUAAUUUUUUUCACUCAGGUCUCAAGCAGAAGUAGGAUCAAAAGAUACAGGCUACUCAUAUGGGUUUUUUCCAGUAUUAAAUCUAAAGCACCUAUGUAGGCCCAGAGAGGCAACUUCCAACUCCAGUCUGGCCAGGAAACUGGUGGAAGCAGUCAGAAAUAGUGUAGGUUGGGGAAUUGGGUCAGGAAGCCUGCCCACUACUACAAAACAUGCUUCAACAUCCAACCAGGGUCAAUCUUGAAUGCUAAUUGUGUGGCACAAACCACAAGGGAAAUUAAAACUUUGGAGUUAAAAAAGUAUUUCAAAUGCUGGCACGAAGAGCUAGAGAACAAAAAUAGAAAUGAGGCAAGCUGGUGCUGGUAUCAGCUCAGAGCACUGGUAUAAAUACCAGGUAUUGGAGUUUUUAGUUCACAGAAGUCUCAUCCUGACCAGAAGAGUCAAAAAUAGCAGCUCCCACAAGACCAGAGGACAACUCUGCUGGAAGCCUUGUCACCCAGAAGCUUUAGAAAAUCCUCUUCAUACUGUGCAUUGAUGGUUAUGCUGGACAGCAAAACGUUGAUCGACUACUGCUGGAAAAGGAUCAGCUCACUCAAGGAGAGCACGUGUACGUGAGUUCUCUGUCUGGUACCACGGCUGACAAACCGACGUCAUUAUUAGAAGACAAAUAAUGCUGACUACACAGCAACCUGGCAAGCAUUUCAGGAGGCAGCUUGGGAUGUCUGGUCCAACAAACUCAUGAGAUAAGCAAAUUUUGGUGAAACAUUACACUUGGGCAGCUCAAAUAAGGGUUUGGGGCUAUUUUGUUUUUCAGAGAUCGAAGUUCUGAACUGUGAAGAGUAGGUCUUGGGAAGACUAAGUGAAAAGAGAAAAAAUCAUUGAGCUUUAUGAAUAAACAGCAACAUGUUCUCUAGCAAAUAGCUGGCCUAUUGAUUUCAGGCUUUUAUGUCAAACAGGAACACAGACAAUUAUAUAAAACAUGAAUUAACAGUAACAGAAUAAAACAGUUUACAGUCAGA